GAAAGGAAUUGAUGGGAAUGCAUGAAAUUACCUUAGCUUGGGUAUAACAUGCAUAAAAUUAAAUAGCUACCUGCAAUUAAUUUGAUAAAAUAUUUUAGGUCAGUUUUCUUGGCCAAGUUUGGACAAACUUUCGUGAGAUCAAUUGAGAGUUCUUAUGAAAACAAAAUAAAUACUAUAUAUCUACUCGAAUUAUCUAAAACAAUCGAAACUACAGAAACUAACAAUGUCAUUCAACAUUUCCAGGC